rnacentral:misc_RNA from 1 species
UCCGGUUUGACACCGGCAGUCUCCCAUGAGUCCCCACCAUUACGUGCUGGCAACAUGGAACGAGGGUUGCGCUCGUUGCGGGACUUAACCCAACAUCUCACGACACGAGCUGACGACAACCAUGCACCACCUGUGCACGGCCCUUACGGACCCCGCAUCUCUGCGAGAUUUCCGUGCAUGUCAAGCCUAGGUAAGGUUCUUCGCGUUGCGUCGAAUUAAGCAACAUGCUCCGCCGCUUGUGCGGGCCCCCGUCAAUUCCUUUGAGUUUUAGCCUUGCGGCCGUACUCCCCAGGCGGGGCGCUUAAUGCGUUAGCUUCGGCACGGACGGAGUCGACACCGCCCACACCUAGUGUUCAUCGUUUACGGCGUGGACUAC